GACGAACGCUGGCGGCGUGCUUAACACAUGCAAGUCGAACGAUGAAGCCCAGCUUGCUGGGUGGAUUAGUGGCGAACGGGUGAGUAACACGUGAGUAACCUGCCCUUGACUCUGGGAUAAGCGUUGGAAACGACGUCUAAUACCGGAUACGAGCUUCCACCGCAUGGUGAGUUGCUGGAAAGAAUUUUGGUCAAGGAUGGACUCGCGGCCUAUCAGCUUGUUGGUGAGGUAACGGCUCACCAAGGCGACGACGGGUAGCCGGCCUGAGAGGGUGACCGGCCACACUGGGACUGAGACACGGCCCAGACUCCUACAGGAGGCAGCAGUGGGGAAUAUUGCACAAUGGGCGAAAGCCUGAUGCAGCAACGCCGCGUGAGGGACGACGGCCUUCGGGUUGUAAACCUCUUUUAGCAGGGAAGAAGCGAAAGUGACGGUACCUGCAGAAAAAGCACCGGCUAACUACGUGCCAGCAGCCGCGGUAAUACGUAGGGUGCAAGCGUUGUCCGGAAUUAUUGGGCGUAAAGAGCUCGUAGGCGGUUUGUCGCGUCUGCUGUGAAAUCCCGAGGCUCAACCUCGGGUCUGCAGUGGGUACGGGCAGACUAGAGUGCGGUAGGGGAGAUUGGAAUUCCUGGUGUAGCGGUGGAAUGCGCAGAUAUCAGGAGGAACACCGAUGGCGAAGGCAGAUCUCUGGGCCGCUACUGACGCUGAGGAGCGAAAGGGUGGGGAGCAAACAGGCUUAGAUACCCUGGUAGUCCACCCCGUAAACGUUGGGCGCUAGAUGUGGGGACCAUUCCACGGUUUCCGUGUCGUAGCUAACGCAUUAAGCGCCCCGCCUGGGGAGUACGGCCGCAAGGCUAAAACUCAAAGGAAUUGACGGGGGCCCGCACAAGCGGCGGAGCAUGCGGAUUAAUUCGAUGCAACGCGAAGAACCUUACCAAGGCUUGACAUAUACGAGAACGGGCCAGAAAUGGUCAACUCUUUGGACACUCGUAAACAGGUGGUGCAUGGUUGUCGUCAGCUCGUGUCGUGAGAUGUUGGGUUAAGUCCCGCAACGAGCGCAACCCUCGUUCUAUGUUGCCAGCACGUCAUGGUGGGAACUCAUGGGAUACUGCCGGGGUCAACUCGGAGGAAGGUGGGGACGACGUCAAAUCAUCAUGCCCCUUAUGUCUUGGGCUUCACGCAUGCUACAAUGGCCAGUACAAAGGGCUGCAAUACCGUAAGGUGGAGCGAAUCCCAAAAAGCUGGUCCCAGUUCGGAUUGAGGUCUGCAACUCGACCUCAUGAAGUCGGAGUCGCUAGUAAUCGCAGAUCAGCAACGCUGCGGUGAAUACGUUCCCGGGCCU
rnacentral:rRNA from 1 species